GACGAACGCUGGCGGCGUGCUUAACACAUGCAAGUCGAGCGAGAGCCAGUCGAGGGGUAACCCUCGGCUGGGGACAGCGGCGAACGGGUGCGUAACACGUGGGCAACCUGCCCCUGACACUGGGAUAACCCCGGGAAACCGGAGCUAAUACCGGAUACUCUCGGCCGAUCACAUGGCUGGCCGAGGAAAGGUCCGCCGGUCAGGGAUGGGCCCGCGGCCUAUCAGCUUGUUGGUGGGGAAUGGCCCACCAAGGCGACGACGGUAGCUGGUCUGAGAGGACGACCAGCCACACUGUAACUGAGAUACGGUCCAGACUCCUACGGGAGGCAGCAGUGGGGAAUAUUGCACAAUGGGCGAAAGCCUGAUGCAGCGACGCCGCGUGAGGGAU
rnacentral:rRNA from 1 species